UACGUAGGUGGCAAGCGUUGUCCGGAUUUACUGGGCGUAAAGAGCGCGCAGGCGGUCGUUCAAGUCGCGUGUGAAAGCCCCCGGCUCAACUGGGGAGGGUCACGCGAUACUGAUCGACUCGAAGGCAGGAGAGGGUAGUGGAAUUCCCGGUGUAGUGGUGAAAUGCGUAGAUAUCGGGAGGAACACCAGUGGCGAAGGCGACUACCUGGCCUGUUCUUGACGCUGAGGCGCGAAAGCUGAGGUAGCAAACGAGG
rnacentral:rRNA from 1 species